rnacentral:rRNA from 1 species
UACGUAGGGUGCAAGCGUUGUCCGGAAUUAUUGGGCGUAAAGAGCUCGUAGGCGGUUUGUCGCGUCUGCUGUGAAAUCUCGGGGCUCAACCCCGAGCGGUCGUGAGAAACUGGCAGGCUAGAGUGCGGGAGAGGAGAGUGGAAUUCCUGGUGUAGCGGUGAAAUGCGCAGAUAUCAGGAAGAACACCCGUGGCUAAGGCGGCUCUCUAGUACGGUACUGACGCUGAGACGCGAAAGCGUGGGGAGCGAACAGG